AGCGAACGCUGGCGGCAGGCUUAACACAUGCAAGUCGAGCGGGCCCUUCGGGGUCAGCGGCAGACGGGUGAGUAACACGUGGGAACGUACCCUUUGGUUCGGAAUAACGCUGGGAAACUAGCGCUAAUACCGGAUACGCUCUUUUGGGGAAAGGCUUGCUGCCGAAGGAUCGGCCCGCGUCUGAUUAGCCAGUUGGUGGGGUAAUGGCCUACCAAGGCGACGAUCAGUAGCUGGUCUGCGAGGAUGAUCAGCCACACUGGGACUGAGACACGGCCCAGACUCCUACGGGAGGCAGCAGUGGGGAAUAUUGGACAAUGGGCGCGAGCCUGAUCCAGCCAGGCCGCGUGAGUGAUGAAGGCCUUAGGGUUGUAAAGCUCUUUUGUCCGGGACGAUAAGGACGGUACCGGAAGAAUAAGCCCCGGCUAACUUCGU
rnacentral:rRNA from 1 species